GUGAGAGGCUAAAAUAGCCACUGUGUAUUUAUUACAAACAAUGGCGCUAUAAAAGGUAAACUGCCUUUGUCAUUCUUGAUGGUUGUAAGUACCAAGGAGAUCAGGGAUCCCUAUGCCUAAAACAAAAACUAGCUGAUUAUCUCCCCAUUUUCUCAUCCCUGUAGUUAGCUACAGAAGACCGCAUGCUUCCCUCUGUAAUAGCGGCUCAUGUUGAUGGUGAUUUUCCAAGAAGGCCGUGCUCUCCAGAAGCUUUUGAACACUGCACACGCCAGUCCCCCAUUGCAAGAUCUGAUAUGCCUUCUGCCAUACCAGGGGUGUACUGGGUAUAUGUGAGGCUGAGAGUCAUUAACGUAACUAAUGUUCUCUAAAGAAGCCAUCUAAAACUCAAACUGUUUAAAGAACGUGAAAUGUCCAAAUGGCAAUGUAUCUACAUAAACCAGUAAAACAUCUGUCAGUGGCAAUUUAAUUUUAGUAUCUUUAAAAAAAAAAACCCAAACUCCAACUUACAAAUUAGUAUGCAUCUGCGUAUUUGUUCACACACACAUACAACCAUUUGUUCCCUCAUCUUAGGUUCAGCCUUCUACAGGACGAGGUUUCUGGGGCUCCAAGAUGACUGUGUUGAGUCGCUGCUCCAAGGAGCCCCCCUGUCUGGAUACUGGUGUUUGGUGUGGCUGCGUGCCACGAGAGCAGCGUCCAUUCUAUGCAAUCACAGGCCAGAGCAGCUCCUGUUCUAUUCCAGAUGCACAGCGCAGAAGCCAUUUCUGUUGCAGCCCAAGUUCAUGUAUCCAGGAGUCGCUGGUGUUGCUGCUGAAAGGUCACAGGGUCUCUUCCAGGAGGAGGAUGACAGUACAGAAGUUGACCCUACGAAGCCAACAAGAAGCGGAACAGCACAUCACAGGUGCCAUGUGUGUUAUCGAGAAGAAAAAGUCCUCCGAGAAGACCUCUCCGCCAGGCGCCCUGACAAGCUUCCUGCUUUCUGAUGUGAGCUGAGCGGAGUUCUGUCACCUACAACUGGAGAGCCCUAACGAAGACACCGACUGUGCUCCUUAAUGUGUUCGGGAGGCCUCGCCGGCCCACAGCCCCCACACCAGAAAGAAAUCUUUCUCCUCUGUGCUUUUUACCUUGUUUGCAUUUCUACUAAAGUGUCCUUCAGUACGCUGACAUGACUGUACUUAGGAUAAAUAUUUUCCAAAACAAAAACCAGGACACAACUAGACAGCAGGAUGAUACUAUGGGGAUGUUGGGCUGGCCGUGGUUGCUCACUGGGCACAAAUUUUCUGCUUCCUGCUGUAAGCGCUCUAUAAACUGUGGUUGGUUUUAACUCAUCUUCUCAUCUUCCAUGGUUUUACAAGUGGUAAAUGAAUAAAUAAUUUAUCCAUACAAAUA